CAGGCCUAACACAUGCAAGUCGAACGCCCCGCGAGGGGAGUGGCAGACGGGUGAGGAACACGUGGGAACGUACCCUUCGGUUCGGAACAACCCUGGGAAACUAGGGCUAAUACCGGAUACGAGCGAGAGCUGAAAGGUUCACCGCCGAAGGAUCGGCCCGCGUCUGAUUAGCUAGUUGGUGAGGUAACGGCUCACCAAGGCGACGAUCAGUAGCUGGUCUGAGAGGAUGAUCAGCCACAUUGGGACUGAGACACGGCCCAAACUCCUACGGGAGGCAGCAGUGGGGAAUAUUGGACAAUGGGCGCAAGCCUGAUCCAGCCAUGCCGCGUGAGUGAUGACGGCCUUAGGGUUGUAAAGCUCUGUGGGGAGGGACGAAUAAGUGCUGGCUAAUAUCCAGCGCGAUGACGGUACCUCUUUAGCAAGCACCGGCUAACUCUGUGCCAGCAGCCGCGGUAAU
rnacentral:rRNA from 1 species